UCUUGGAAAAAGAUCAAGGGCUCCUAAUUUGUAGGAGCCCUAGAUACCUUUAAAAGGAGGCUUGGGCGGCACCUAGGGCAAGCAUUGAAGCCCUCCUCCUUGUGGUUGUACUCCCCCUCUUCCUCCCCUUGGUCUUCAGCCGCAAGCAAAAGAAAAGGAAGAAAGGUCUUGGCGGCCUCCUCCCUCUUCCCUUCCUUCAUCCAACGCAGGGGAAAGAAAAGGGCUGCAAGGUGCUUUGAUUCUUCUUCAAGUUUCAUCCUUCUUCUUCCUC
rnacentral:lncRNA from 1 species